rnacentral:lncRNA from 1 species
GAAUCAAAAGAUAGCUUCUCUUGGCCAUAUUUGGACCUUGGCAAGACUGUGUUGAUUUCUUGGUGAAUCUUGGCCACCACUUGAGGGUUUUUUGACAGCAGCCAGAAGAACCAAGUGAGCGCAGAGGCAACAGUGUCUCUCCCGGCUAUAAUGAAAUUCAAGAUGACUUCUUUGAGGAAUUGAUCUUUACUCGGGUUCAAAAGCUCGUACUUGGUCGUGUCUAGCUUUAUGUAGGACGUCAACAAAUCUUCACCUUCUCCGUUAAUGGGAUGAUUACUAAUCCCUUGCAAUCUUACCUCCUCUCUCUUAGUUGAUAUGUAUUUUGCACAAACACGAUCGAAAACGGCAUCAGCUUCUAGCAACUUUUUCUCUAGACCCAAUCCCAUCCAACUUUGUAGCUUCCACAAGAGCCUUGGUUUAAUAUGUCUAUACAUAAUCGCCUCCCCAGCAUCGGUAAUUGCUUUAGCAAACUCAUUGUCCGGCAUUUCAAUGGAGAGGCUUAUAGGAUCAGACCCGGUUAUAAGAACCAUUGUUGUAUCAAAAGUGAAUCUCUGGAACACAUCUUGCAAGUUCACGGUCGUUCCUUCCUUUGCAAAAUGAUCGAAAAGAGGUACAAGCCCGUUCUUGAGUUUACUUCUUGUGGCAGUCACUGAAAAUCUUUGAAACCCCUGAUGGUUGAGCCUGGACUGAGCAGCCUUCCUCAGGUUUUUCCACAGCUCUGAGUCCGUGUUGAAUAUCACAUCUUUGAAAACAUCAAAGACUUCUUUGAACUCAGGGCCUUUGGUGUAAUUUGAGAAGUUUGAGCUCAAUAUGUAGUGAAUGUUUGCUGGAUCAACAGUGAUCAACAUAUCCAUUCCAGCAAACCAGAGACCUUUGAACUGAAAUGUUAAGUUGGACAUCUCGAGAAUCUCCGCCAAAAAAUCAUAGACUCGGUGGAGCGCCAUGAGAAGAUCUGGAAGCAUUCCGAGAACAGGCCAGUUCCUAGCGAGGUUCUUAUGUGGUUUCUUAAGGAGGGAAUAAAGUAUGAUGAGAAAGGAAAUGAUAGCAAUGAAGGUUUCAAACAAGCUUAUGGAAGCCAUUAGAGCAAAAAGGUUCUUUUGUGUAAAAUGAAACUAGGUUUACACACAAACACAUACUCUUGUGAUGGCUUCUUGGAGAGCACGAAAAACUAGGUUUAUAUAUACACUAGAAACCGCAAUAAUUCAAAAAUGGACCCGCUUCUUCUACGGUCUCAAGCGCACUGCCAGCCUCAACCGACCGAAUUUAAGUGUAGAUGUUAACAAGCAACAAAAAAUCUGUACAUAUAUUUACUAUAUUAGAUUAUAUACUUUAACGAUUUUUAUAUAUGAGAAAGUCUCAAGUAGGGACCAUACUGCGUUGAGGUAAAAAUAUAGAGCUCGAGUUUUCACUUGAUAAACAAACCGGAAAUUUAUGGUAUUUCUUCUAUCGGCUAUAUUGUAAAUAUGAUGUCUUUGAGGAGUAUAUCGUCACUCAAGUUCAAAAUCUCGUACUGGUUUGUGCUAUAAUUAAUUUGGAGCAGGGAAGCAUCCCUAGAAAGAGCCAAUUCAUAGUAAGUGUUGAGAAUCAAUACCAAAGAAAGCAAUAAAAUUGAGGCAAACACCCUUUUAGGGUUUUCUUAUUAAUUGUGUGAAUAAAUAAUUACAAACUCUAAGUUUUGUAUUUAUAGUCCAAAACCCGACUUCCAAAUCCACUUGAUAAAGGAAAACCUAAAACAAACCUAAUAAAAAACCAUAACGUUACAUUCCUCAACUUGCUCUAGCAGAGCCCUUUAGAAUAUUUUGUUAUCUGAAACAACAGUAAGAAAACUCUUAUAGAGUUUCUUGUUAAAAAAGUAAAGUACGGAGAAAGCAAAUAGUAGUUAUGAAGACUUCAGAUCAGCUUAUCUUGAUGCCAUUUGGGAAAAGGUUUCUAUGUAUACAAAAGAAGUUGAUUUACACACAACACAAACUCUUGUGAUGCCUUCCAAAAGUGUAUGAGGAACUUUGUUUAAACACUCACGCACACACUAGAAUGCUAACAAAGUAACAAGUUUGAUAGAAUACGUUAGCCAGAUGGUUAGCUAUGCAUUGAUUGUUUAGCCUCCAUUGAUUGUGGCCUGAAGCUGAUGCAUAAUAAAUUACUAGACAUUGAGAUGGCACAAAUCUUUAUUGAAAUGACACAAAUGUUUUGUAUAAUAAAUUGCUAGACGACAUUUGUGCAUUGUUCCACACUUUCACUAUAUGCAUACAUAUACUUUUAUCUAGCUCUGAGUCCGUGUUGGAUUUACAAAAACAAAGGAAACAUAGUAAAAAAAAAAAACAUAAGCAUAAACACAAAAAUAUGAUUUAAGAAAAGACAAAAAACAAAAUCACUAUUGAGUAUUUAAAAAAAGGAAAAUAAGAAAUAUAUUUGAUAAACUAAAAAUUAUAAAUCUCUUAGACCCAUAGAACAGAAUACGUGAAGUGAAAGAAUGAGCUCUUCGACCAUUAGACUAAUUUGGCAAUUGUAAUGUGGCCCUUAAAAUAAGAUAUGUGUCUUGAAGGUAAUUUCUCGCCUUAUGGUCGGGCCGGAUUUAUUGAAAAGAGAAAUUUUUUCCGUAUGAUAAAUUACUAGACAGACAAUUCUAGUGUUUGAACACUCACGUACUGUGAUCAAAUCUAGUGAGAACAGAAAAAAUAUCUGUCCUAAUAAAGAAUCACAUGUUGAUGACCAUUCUUGGAUAUGCAGAUCGAAAGUGGUCCCUCAUACUAAUAAUGAUAAUGCUAUAUAAUAUGAGAGUUUUUUCACCAUUUAAGGUAUCCACAUAAAAAAAAAAUUAAAAUUAAUGAUUCAAUUAGUUCACACUUUUUCAAUAAUUAUUAUUGUUCAUUUAAAAAGAGAGAAAAUACUAAAAACAAAAUUAUUGGUUCCAUUAACUCACACAUUAACUAUAGUUAUUAUUUUUCAUCUAAACUGAGUUUACAAAAAGAUAAAAAAAUAAAAAAGAAAAAAAAAUUUAGAGUAUAAAUUAGAUGACUAUAAGAUUUAAUGAAGGAAUAAUUACUUUUAAGAAAUAGGAAGAAAAGUUAUUAUGUUAAAAAUUAUAAAAUAAAUCGUAAAACAUUUUUCUAAUAGUUAUAAAUUAUUAAGGAUAAUGAAAAGUUACAAGUUAAUUAAAUAGUAAAUACAAAAUUAGAUGAUUUUUACUCAAAAGAAAAAUAUUUAGUUUUCACAAAAACAUUAGUAUUUUGCUCUUUUGCAGUAGGUUAUGCAUUUUAAGAAAUGAAAAUAAAAAUUCAUACAUAUCUAAAAUUAUAAGAUGAAAAAUAUAUUACGAGAAAUUAUUUUUUUCAAUGAUAAGUUAAGUGUAUGUAGGACUUUACAAGUUCAUGUCAAAUUCUCUAUUAAUAUGAUAUUAUCUGUUUUGGGUUCAACUGGUAAAGUUUGCACAGAUUUAUUUUUGAACUCCUUCCCCAAAAGUCUUAUACUAAUUAUUAUUAGACAUAAAUUAUAUAUUAGACACUCUUUUUUCAAAUUUCUGGUGUAGGAUUUGGAUUGAUAUCUCAACAAUCCUCCCCUCAAGACAAGAACCACACAAACGUGUGGUCUCCCAACCUCCUAUGAAACUUGGCACCCAUCUUGUAUCGCCUAACCUAACCGUUCGCGUAUUGUUAAGAAUACUGUCAACACAAGGCAACGGUAACCCAAUCGCAAAAUCACUUUAAGGGCUCUUGCGACUGUUUUCAUAAUGAAACUACAUUUUGGUAUUACGAAUUCGCUCCUCCAAAACUUGUAAUUUGAAUCCACUAUAAAUUUUUUUUAAAAAUUUGUUUCACAUAAUAAUUUUAAACUAUAUAUGAAAUGAAAAAGCAUAGAAACCUUACAUUACAUAUGUUCACAAAAAAAGAGAUCACAUACAAAGUUAAAUGUCAUAGUAACUUCCAUUGAAAAAUGAGUUACUAUAUACAACCAUGGAGAUAAGUUUAAAAGGAGAUCAAAGUCAUUGAAAAGGUUCUAGAGCCUAUGAUUCCGAGAGAUUACUAGAGAGCACCAUUAAUAAGAGUUCAAAGGAGACCAAAAGAGUUGAGAGAGGUAGAGUAACCUAUGAUUCCGCGAGAUGAGUGGUUUGAGGAGCAGAAGUCAUCGGAGCAGCAUUUGGCUCCUCAGAGGUGUUGUUUGUGGCCAAAAAGUCGAAAACCCCUGGAUCUGUUGCAGCCAAAUACCUUUCGACCAGGGAGAGUUUGUCGAUAUUGGCUUGUUGCUCUGUAGAAAUUCUUGUAAGCUCGGACUUUUGCCUUGCAUUCUCAGCUGCUUGUUCUUCUCUUUUGCGUUGAGCUUCUUCUAGCUGUUCUUGCAGAGUCUUGUAUGUUGAAGAGCUACCUGGGUACUUCCUCUUUCCAUUAAUAUGCGACUGUGAAAGGCUUCCAAUUCCAUAUGGAAUACCUCUUUCAUUUGUGAAUGUCGACUGCAACAACAAAAGAAUGGUUCAAACAAAAAAAAACCAAAUGAUCACACUAUAUUAUAAAAUACAAACUACAAACCAAAAACGAGGACUUACCUGGAGAAAGAGGUCGUUCUCCUCUUCUACGGUUAGCUCCUCUAAAGAAUCUGAGUCUAGUGUCCCUUGGUUAUAAAUUCUAGCUUUUAAGUUCCUCUUAUACCUUUCAGCCACGCUAUCUGCCUUUCGGUCUACAAAGGUCCCAUCUGCUUUUGUAUGAGUCUUGAUGAAAACUUCACCAAGACUCACCAGUCUUUCCAAUUCUUCUUCCUGAAAUGAUAAGAACAAGAUGCAAGAGUUAAAAGUUUAAAACUGAGUGAUUAGGUAUGGAUAUAGUACUUACCAUUUCUUGUUGGAUUUGUAGAUAUGAUUUUUGCUCUGACACGUGUAUGUGAGGGCCAAGACCCUUAUGUUCAGACAGCCGAGCCCCUGAUGUGGUUGCACUCUUCUCUUUGGCUUCUUCAGUGUUCCAAUACUGGGUCAUUUGUUUCCAGAGAGUAUCACCUAUCCAAUUAGGUUGCUCCCGAGAAGUCCUUACUUUGCUUACCAUAUCUUUCAUCCUUUGUUGACAUAUACUCUCAAACUUUUGUUGAACAACACCAGUUAUUAAGGGAUCCCAGGUGUGUUUUUUCUACAAAUAACAUGAGAGAAUAUAAUGUUAGUGAGCAAACAUAAAAGAUGAAAAACUGAAUCAAAGUUACAAAAAAGGAUACUUUACCGCGAAUUCAACGAAGUACCGCUCCUGUCUUUCCCGAGGCACACAUGUCCAGCUAUAAAAAGGACCAUCAAACUUUUUUGUAAAGACUUUGGUUAUCUUACGGGUCAGUGAAGACUUGCACGACCAAACCUACAAACAGAGAAACAAUCAAUUACAAUAAUGACUCACAUAUGCACUUGUACAUAUCACAUACACGAUGCAAUAUCACAGACAUAUGCAAUAUCACGAUGCAAUACACGAUGCAAUAAUGACUUACACAAUGCAAUAAUGACUGGACAUAUGCAAUAUCAUGAUGCAAUAAUGACUCACAUAUGCACCAGUACAUGUCACAUAACCAAUACACAGACAUAUGCAAUAUAUCACGGUGAGAACAAUAUCACAUAUGCACUAGUACUAACCAAAAACAGGCAUCAGUUUCAAACAAGACACAUAUCACACGAAGCUACACAUCCUACAUAUAUGUGUGAAGCUACACGUCCUUCACAUCCUAUACGAACAUAGUACAUAUCACAAAUCAAACAAGCUAAACAUCCAUCACACAAUCUAUUGUUCCAUUGCAGCUCAACAUGAUUAAUGUUAAGAACACUAAGUUAAGAGAGAGAGAGAGGCGUACCAUGUUGUAUUCGGCCUCUUUAUUGGAGAGAGGACUGUCGUAAACUCUUCUCUGUCAGGUUGAGUGGGUAUAGCAUUGAGGAUUUGCAGCUGGUCCUCCGCGAGAUUGGCUGGGACUAGAUCGUCUUCUUCUUCAAAGGUGGCUCCUUCAUCCACUUCAGAGUUGUUAGCUUCAAACGCUGGAGAUAUUUGUUCUUCAGACAUUGGAGAGGAUUGGCGAUGAGAGUGUGUAGAGCUUCGUGGUUGAGGCAGCGGAGAGGUACGAGGUUGAUAUCGUGGAGAGUUGGCAGGUUGAGACUCGGAGGUUCGACGUUGACUCUGUGAGUGCUGGAAAAGAUGAUGAUUUGGCGGUGGAUAAUCCCUCACCGAGACCAAUGGUUGGCAUGUGGGCACAAGUGGUGGCGGAAAUUUUGAUGUUCUCGCCAGAGUAAAAUCGUACCGAUUAUGAAGAGGGGAUGGAGUUCUGGCUUGCGAAGAAGAUGCACCACCUCUUCCUCCUCUUCCUCGUCCUCUCUUGCUUCCAGGGCCACCCAUCUGCGAAUAGAUUGAGAGAGAGCAGAAAUGAAAUCGAUUGUGUCGAUUAGGGUUAGGGAAAGGAGGGGUUAUGUCGAUUAAAUGGAGGGAAAAAUGUUUUAGAGAAGAAAUGAAAUGGAUUGAGAGAGAGGAGAACAGAUUAAACAGGGAUUGAAGAAGAAUUGCAGCAAAGUGGAUUAGAGUUUGGAAAUUGGAUCGAAGGAGAAAUGAAAGGAGAUUAGGGUUUCUGGGUUGAAAAGGGAUUGAUAGAGAAUAAAUGCUUAAGUGUUUAGUUUUUUGGGCUGGUUUUGGGUUUUAAUUAUGUUUUUGUUUAUUUUAGGCCUAAUUGCGGUCGCAAAUUACCGACUGUUACAUUUUAGUCGCUAAAUUAGUCGUUAUUUGGUGAUUAUAUUACGACUCUUUGUAUUAGUCGCUAAUUAGCGUCUACUAUACGACUGAUAUCUAUUAGUCUUUAAAUAAAGACAAAUCAGUCGCCAAAUAGUUGGAACUCGUAACGACUAAUAGUUCUGUCGCUAAAUGCAGUCGCUAAAUCCAUUUUUUCUUGUAGUGCAUCCAACAAACCUCGCUCUUGUACCAGUUGUUGAGUUUUGCAAAUCCAUGUCUAAUUUCUUAUUAGUAUAAUAUUGUCUGCUUUGGGUCUAAUGAAAAAGCCCGCACAGAUUAUAUUUGUGCUCUUUCCCAAAAAACCUCAUACUAAUUACUAUUGGAUAUAACUCUUUAUCUUAACUUCUGAUGUAUGAUUUGGAUUGAUAUCCCAAUAGUGUAAGAUGUGACUAUGAGAUAUGAUGUUUCAUAAAUACAAAAGAGCACGUUUACAUAAUGCAAUUACAAACAAUAAACCAAUUGCAAUUACAAACAUUAACCGACUAGAAACUAACAAUCCAAAUAGAACAAACGAAGUGUUUGCUAAAUAUAACAUAUAAACAAAUAUAAAAAUUAUGAAUGUAAAAUAAGCCAGUACGGAGUCAAUACCUAGUAUUAGAUAUGAGAAUUCUUCUCAGCGGACCCUCACCAUCGAAGAAAAGAAUGAGAUAUUUCUUAAGGUUUGUCUUUUCUCUUCUUAGCAUAUAUUGGUAUUUGUUUUGCUUGAUGUUCAUUAUCUGGCUUUGAGAUAGUAAAAUUCAAUCAUGUCUCGUCAUUAGCUCAGAAUUUUUUUUUUUGCAUUGUUAGCUUGGUUUGAUGUUUAGCAAAAUGUGUGUUUGAGUUUGCGUUGAAUCUUUAAUGAGUCGACACUAUUGACACUGGGUUUUAUAAGGUUUGCGAUUGAUCUCAGUUAGAGCUUACUGGUCUGAUUUGUUUUGCUUCUUUAUGUCGUUGUAAUCUAUUUUUUUUUAAACCAAAAUACUUGUUGAAAAAAUCUUACUGAUCUAACUGAGUUCUUAGUUAUAGUGAUUUCUUACUGUCUUUGUGUUUGCUUAGGGGAUUGAUCUUACUGAGUUCUUUCUGACUUUUCAAUGGUUUGAGGUUAAAAUACUUGUUGUUUUAGUCCACUGAAACAAAUGACAAGGGAAACCCUUUUGGGCUUGGGAAACUGAAAGAGACUAUCAACAAAGGGAAAAGAAAAGAAAGUUAUGGAAAUUCUCAAUCCUCAUCAAUUUCCGAGAUAGAUCAACAGCUACAAGCUGCUCGUCAAAAGAUUGAGGAACAAGAAGCCCAAAAUGCAAGACCUGAUGCGGAGAACCGAGUUUCUCAAUCUAAGAUCGCAAGCUUGGAGUUGCUCUUAUCCUACUUCAAAACAAAUGAUCCAGCAUUUGCAGCAUAUGUGGCUUCUCAAUCAGAUCUAGCCGCACCAACCACAACACCAGGUACCACUCUAAGAGCCGCACCACCAACCACAGCAGGAACCACUCUAGGAAAUGCACCACCAACCACAGCAGGAACCGCACCAACCAAUUCUCCCUUGUCAAACACUUCAUCAAGCUCUCCAUCUUAACUUAGUAAUUUCUUUGAUAUAUUUUUAUUUUGGUUGUCUAAAUAUUUAUGUUUAGGAUCUUUUGUAAGAUGUUUGACUGAUUCUAGUAAGUAUUUUGGGUAGAAACUAUUUAAAAUGCAGAAAUUGUUUCAAUUUUCCGUUUUUGAUUCCUAAAAAAAAAAUUACUUAUUCAACAUAGGUAGUUGCAAAUAAGUCACUAUUUGGGACUGAAUUGCGACCACCAAUAUUUAGAAAACAAUAACGUCGUCGCAUUUUGGAAGCUAAUGCAUGACCAUUUUCCGACUGAAUUGGUAAAUAUUAGUCUCUAAGGAGUCGCAAAUAUUUCCCACUGCUUGGCGACUAAUGUGCUACAAAAAAAAAUUUGUUUCUUCACUUUGCCAUCAAAGCUAGAAAAGUCCCAAAUUAAUCGCUAAAAUAUAGUCUCUAAUAAGUCGCAAAUAUUACCAACUAACUUGCGACCAAGAUGUUACAGUAUAUUAGGUUUUUCACUUCGUCCUUUGUAGUCUCAAAUUGGUCGCUAACUAAUCGGCGUUACAAUCUAGACGUUAAUCUACGACUACGUUAUUUGUCUCAUAGUAGUCGCUUAUACGCGACGGAAAUAUAUCAUCGCAGAGUAGUCGGAAAACAAGGACUAGUUUGCGACUAAUAUUUUUUGCGACGACAAAUUUGCGACUACGUAUUGUAGUCGUAUAGUAGUCGCAAAGCAUUGAUUUGCGAUUAAGAUAAGACUAUAUUGGUAGUCACAAAUUCUGUGUUUACUUGUAGUGGAAGCAGCUGAGCUCAUUCUCUUGGCAUCCUAGAAUGCUAAGAUGUUUGGUAGUAUACAGUAGAACACAGCUAAAUGGGUAGUUGUGCAUUGAUUGUUUUGCCUUCGCUGAUUGUAUGCUAUGCGCUAACUAGAAUGCUAACAAGUUUUUGAUAGAAUGGUUUAUCUCUUCAUUUGAGUCAGUAUACUACAAUUAUUGUCCGUAAGUACUAGGAGGCUUAAAGCAAUUCGAAAAAUGGGGAUUUUUUUGUUUCUAUAACUUUUUAGUUAGUAUAAUAAAUUUAUUAACUAUCAUUAGUUUAAAUAUAUGUUUUAAUAAAUUAUGAUUGUAUUUUCUUAAGCCAAUCGACAUUAUUUAUAUAUAUAUUUUUAAUAUUAUCUAAAGUUUUAUUAUUUCAGAAAACGAUUGAAAAAAGCAAAGAAGCCACCAAGUAGAAUUUUUUUAAAAGUACAAUAAUAUGUUGAAAGAUGUAUGUUAACAUUUAAAAAUAGAUGAUAUAUUCAACUAAAAAUCAAUUAAUUUUUUAAUUGUUUUUGACUACUUAUAUUCUGCAUAUUGUUUUUUCAUUAGUUGAAUUAUGUUUAUAUAGAUAAUAACUGAUGUUUUAGUUUUUGAAAAACAUUUAAUAAACUUUAAUAUUUUGGUAUAAAUCUUAUACAUCAUCUUUUUGAAAUGAAGGAAAUAGUAUGUAUACAUAUAAUAAAUUAGUUGGAAAACAAAAGUUGUUAAUUAAAAAGAAAGAAGGAAAUAUAAAAUAUUUAUAUGUGGCCCUUAAAAUAUAAAUUAGUUAUAUGUGGCAUGUUGUAAAAAGGAAAAUGUGGCAUGAAGCUAAUGCAGAAUAAAUUACUAGAUCUAUAUAAAUCUUCAUUGAAAAAAUCUUUUGUGUAUUAAAAACGACAAUUGUGGUACAUUACGUACAUUGCAUGGAAUGAAUCAGAAACGGGUAUGCGAAACGAAGCGUAUGGAAACGUGGAAGUGACUUUUAAAAAAAGAAAAGAAUAGGAUACGUGUUGAUAUAUAAUAUUAUAUGUAACAAAUUUAAUACAUUAAUUUUGCACAAUUUAACUAUUUAGUAUUCAUAUGAUCCACAAUUAGUAUAAGAUAUUCUUCAAAAAAAAAAAAAAACUGGUCACGUGAAUCAGAUUUACAAGUUAAUCCUUGAUAAAAUGCAGACCAACCAUUUCGAUAAAAAUUAACCCGUGAUAUAGCCUUAAUGUAUUUUAUCGUGUAGAAAUUGUGUCGUUUUAAAAACAAAUUGAAUACUCUAUAGGGGGAAAGAAUAUUGAGUGGACCGACCACUAACCAAUUUAACCACCAAUUUUCUCAUAAUCUUCAUGAAUACAUAAUAUUAAGGUAUAGAUUCAUCAUCUCGCAGAUCAUAUAAAAGUAGCUAAGGGAUUCAUCGAAGACCAUGCUCUCAGAUCACUUUAUUAUACUCGGAUUUAAUUUAACGAAUAGAUUUCACUAAGCUGAAUCUCGCUUAGUAAUUGUCACCUCAAACCCAUGCUUCAUGCGAAGGAUAAGACCAGGAAGUGACUCAACCUUCUGCCCUUUGAUGGCUUUAAUGUCAUAGCUUUGUAAUAUCUCCAUAACUACGGUCUUCAUGAGAAUCAUAGCUAGUUGCUUACCAAGACAGCUUCUCGGGCCGGCAUUAAACGGUAAGAACUUGAAGGAAGGCUCAUGUCUUAAGCUUCCACCACAAGUCUUUGAAACCCAUCUCUCAGGUUUGAACUCAAGUGCAUCUUCUCCCCAUACAGCUCUCAUCCUUCCAAGCGCGUAAAGAACGAUAAUGACCUUGGAAUUUGCAUCGACUUUAUGCCCGCUUGGAAGCACGUCUGGUUUUAUAGCAGACUUUCGCUCGAAUGGAAUUGGUGGGUAUAACCUCAUCGAUUCAUACAACGCGCCAUGUAAAUACACUAGCUUGUUAAGCUGGGUGGAAUCAAAAGAUAGCUUCUCUUGGCCAUAUUUGGACCUUGGCAAGACUGUGUUGAUUUCUUGGUGAAUCUUGGCCACCACUUGAGGGUUUUUUGACAGCAGCCAGAAGAACCAAGUGAGCGCAGAGGCAACAGUGUCUCUCCCGGCUAUAAUGAAAUUCAAGAUGACUUCUUUGAGGAAUUGAUCUUUACUCGGGUUCAAAAGCUCGUACUUGGUCGUGUCUAGC